rnacentral:lncRNA from 1 species
AGCUCUCGAAAACCUCCCGUAACUCACUUUUAAUCAUUUUAACACCAUCGGACUUUUCGAAGUGUACCAUCCUUGCACUUUGGUCAAUUUGACUAAAGUUCGAUAUUUAUUUUCCGAAUUUUCGGUAUAUUACACUAACAGUAUAAAUUUGUAACGAGUUCUUUUUCUCAUUUAAUCAAACAAAGAGUAAAACCUAAUUAUAUUGUUCUAUUAUGCCCCGAGAGUGAAAUGUUGGAACGAAUCGAUGUCAACGUUCACAUGAACCAAAACCGAAACAACAUUAAACUACUCAUUUUCGCCCUAACAGUAUAAAUUUGCAACGAGUACUUUUUUUCAUCCAAUCCAAAAAAGAGUAAAACCUAAUUAUAUUGUUCUAUUACACCCCGAGAGUGUAAUGUUGGAAGGAAUCGAGAUCAACGUUCACAAGAACCAAAAUCGGAACAACAUUAGACUACUCGCGCCCUAACAUUAUAACUUUGCAACGAGUACUUUUUCUCAUUCAAUCAAACAAAGAGUAAAUCCUAAUUACAUUGGUCUAUUAUGCCCCAAGAGUGUAAUGUUGGAAGGAAUCGAUGUCAACGUUCACAAAAACCAAAACCGGAACUGCAUUAGACAACUCACUUGCGCCCUAACAGUAUAAAUUUGCAACGAGUGCUUUUUCUCAUUCUAUCGAACAAAGAGUACAAGCUAAUUAUACUGUUCUAUUAUACCCUGAGAGUGUAAAUUUCGAACGAAUACAUGUCAACGUUAACAAGAACCAAAACCGAAACAACAUUAGACUACACAGUUGCGCCCUAACUGUAUAACUUUACAACGAGUACUUUUUCUCAUUCAAUCAAACAAAGAGUAAAACCUAAUUGUAUUGUUUUAUUAUGCCCCGAGAGUGUAAUAUUGGAACAAAUCGAUGUCAACGUUCACAAGAACCAAAACCGGAACAACAUUAAACUACUCGGUUGCGCCAUAAUAGUAUAAAUUUGCAACGAAUACUUUUUCUUAUUCUAUCGAACAAAGAGUAAAAGCUAAUUAUAUUGUUCUAUUAUGCCCCGAGAGUGUAAAUUUCGAACGAAUCGUUGUCAACGUUCACAAGAACCAAAACUUGAACAAUAUUAGACUACUCAGUUGCGCCCUAACAGCAUAAAUUUGCAACGAGUUUUUUUUCUCAUUCUAUCGAACAAAGAGUAAAAACUAAUUAUAUUGUUUUAUUAUGCCCUGAGAGUGUAAAUUUCAAACGAAUCGAUGUCAACGUUCACAAGAACCAAAACGGAAACAACAUUAGACUACUAAGUUGCGCCAUAACAGUAUAACUUUGCAACAAGUACUUUUUCUAAUUCAAUCGAACAAAGAGUAAAACCUAAUUACCUUGUUCUAUUAUGCCCCGAGACUGUAAAUUUCGAACGAAUCGAUGUCAACGUUCACAAGAACCAAAACCGGAACAACAUUAGACUACUCAGUUGCGCCCUAACAAUAUAACUUUGCAACGAGUACUUUUUCUCAUUCAAACAAACAAAAAGUAAAAACCUAAUUAUAUUGUUCUAUUAUGCCCCGAGAGUGUAAUAGUAGAACGAAACGAUGUCAAAGUUCACAAGAACCAAAAUCGGAACAACAUUAGACUACUCGGUUGCGUCCUAACAGUAUAACUUUGCAACAAGUACUUUUUCUCACUCUUUCGAACAAAGUGUAAAACCUAAUUAUAUUGUUCUAUUAUGCCCCGAGAAUGUAAAUUUCGAAUGAAUCGAUGUCAACGUUAACAAGAACCAAAACCGAAACAACAUUAGAAUACACAGUUGCGCCCUAACUGUAUAACUUUGCAACGAGUACUUUUUCUCAUUCAAUCAAACAAAGAGUAAAACCUAAUUGUAUUAUUCUAUUAUGCCCCGAGAGUGUAAUAUUGGAACGAAUCGAAGUCAACGUUCACAAGAACCAAAACCGGAACAACAUUAAACUACUCGGUUGCGCCCUAACAGUAUAAAUUUGCAACGAGUACUUUUUCUUAUUCUAUCGAACAAAGAGUAAAAGCUAAUUAUAUUGUUCUAUUAUGCCCCGAGAGUGUAAAUUUCGAACGAAUCGUUGUCAAUGUUCACAAGAACCAAAACCGGAACAACAUUAGACUACUCAGUUGCACCCUAACAGUAUAAAUUUGCAACGAGUUCUUUUUAUCAAUCUAUCGAACAAAGAGGAAAAACUAAUUAUAUUGUUCUAUUAUGCCCUGAGAGUGUAAAUUUCAAACGAAUCGAUGUCAACGUUCACAAGAACCAAAACCGAAACAACAUUAGACUACUAAGUUGCGCCUUAACAGUAUAACUUUGCAACGAGUACUUUUUCUCAUUCAAUCGAACAAAGAGUAAAACCUAAUUACCUUGUUCUAUUAUGCCCCGAGACUGUAAAUUUCGAACGAAUCGAUGUCAACGUUCACAUGAACCAAAAUCGGAACAACAUUAGACUACUUAGUCGCGCCCUGACAAUAUAACUUUGCAACGAGUACUUUUUCUCAUUCAAACAAACAAAGAGUAAAAACCUAAUUAUAUUGUUCUAUUUUACCCAGAGAGUGUAAUAGUGGAACGAAACGAUGUCUACGUUCACAAGAACCAAAAUCGGAACAACAUUAGACUACUCAGUAGCGGCCUAACAGUAUAAAUUUGCAACGAAUACUUUUUCUCAUUCUAUCGAAGAAAACGUAAAACCUAAUUAUAUUGUUCUAUUAUGCCCUGAGAGUGUAAUGUUGGAACGAAUCGUUGUCAACGUUCACAAGAAGCAAAAUCGGAACAACAUUAGACUACUUAGUUUCGCCCUAACAGUAUAAAUUUGCAACGAGUUCUUUUUCUCAUUUAAUCAAACAAAGAGUAAAACCUAAUUAUAUUGUUCUAUUAUGCCCUGAGAGUGUAAUGUUGGAACGAAUCGUUGUCAACGUUCACAAGAACCAAAACCGGAACAACAUUAAACUACUCAGUUUCGCCCUAACAAUAUAAAUUUGCAUCGAGUACUUUUUCUCAUUUAAUCAAAAAAAAGUAAAACCUAAUUAUAUUGUUCUAAUAUACCCCGAGAGUGUAAUGUUGGAAGGAAUCGAUGUCAACGUUCACAAGAAUCAAAACCGAAACAACAUUAGACUACUCACUUGCGCCCUAAUAUUAUAACUUUGCAACGAGUACUUUUUCUCAUUCAAUCAAACAAAGAGUAAAUCCUAAUUAUAUUGUUCUAUUAUGCCCCGAGAGUGUAAUGUUGGAAGGAAUCGAUGUCAACGUUCACUAGAACCAAAACCGGAACUGCAUUAGACAACUCACUUGCGCCGUAACAGUAUAAAUUUGCAACGAGUGCUUUUUCUCAUUCUAUCGAACAAAGAGUAAAAGCUAAUUAUAUUUUUCUAUUAUGAUGCCCCGAGAGUGUAAAUUUCGAACGAAUUGAUGUCAACGUUCACAAGAACCAUAACCGAAACAACAUUAGACUACGCAGUUGCGCCCUAACUGUAUAACUAUGCAACGAGUACUUUUUCUCAUUCAAUCAAACAAAGAAUAAAAGCUAAUUAUAUUGUUGUAUUAUGCCCCGAGUGCGUAAAUUUUCGACAAAUCGAUGUCAAUGUUCAUAAGAACCAAAACCGGAACAACAUUAGGCUACUCAGUUGCGCCCUAACAGUAUAAAUUGGCAACGAGGGCUUUUUCUCAUUCUAUCGAACGAAGAGUAAAAAAUGUGUCGGUUCUAUUAUGCCCCGAGAGGGUAAAUUAGAUGUCCACAUUCACAAGAACGAAAACCGGAACAACAUUAAGCUACUCAAUUGCGGCCAAACAGCAUAAAUUUGGAACGAGUAAUUUUUCUCAUUCAAUCGAACAAAGAGUAAUACCUAAUUAAAAUGUUCUAUUAUGCCCCGAGAGGGUAAAUUAGAUAUCCACGUUCACAAGAACGAAAACCGGAACAACAUUAGACUACUCAAUUGCGCCCUAACAGUAUAAAUUUGCAACGUGUACUUUUUCUCAUUCAUUCAAACAAAGAGUAAAACCUAAUUAAAAUGUUCUAUUAUGCCCUGAGAGGGUAAAUUAGAUGUCCACGUUCACAAAACGAGAACCGGAACAACAUUAGGCUACUCAAUUGCGCCCUAACAUUAUAAAUUUGCAACGAGUACUUUUUCUCAUUCAAGCGAAUAAAGAGCAAAACCUAAUUAAAAUAUUCUAUUAUGCCCCGGGGAGGUAAAUUAGAUGUCCACGUUCACAAGAACGAAAACCGGAACAACAUUAAGCUACUCAAUUGCGGCCAAACAGUAUAAAUUUGGAACGAGUACUUUUUCUCAUUCAACCGAAUAAAGAGUAAUACCUAAUUAAAAUGUUAUAUUAUGCCCCGAGAGGGUAAAUUAGAUAUCCACUGUCACGCCCCGAGACCGAUACCAAUUUGGUCCGGCCCGGGCGCGUCGAACAGACGCCGAACGGACAGGACCUACCCCGUCCGCCCAAGGCUAACCAACGGAUCAUGUAUAAGAAUUUACCCAGAAAUCAAUUCAUAAAUACACGA